GAUGAAGAACGCAGUGAAAUGCGAUAAGUAAUGCGAAUUGCAGAAUUCAGUGAGUCAUCGAAUCUUUGAACGCACAUUGCGCCCUGUGGUAUUCCGCAGGGCAUGCCUGUUCGAGCGUCAUUUCAACCCUCAAGCUCUGCUUGGUGUUGGGCCCUGCCCGCUGCGGCCGGCCCUAAAGACAGUGGCGGUGCCGCCUGGCCCUGAGCGUAGUACAUCUCUCGCUCCAGUGCCCGGUGGUAGCCUGCCAGAACCCCAACUCUCGUAGUUGACCUCGGAUCAGGUAGGGAUACCCGCUGAACUUAAGCAUAUCAAUAAGCGGAGGA
rnacentral:misc_RNA from 1 species